UACGAAGGGGGCUAGCGUUGCUCGGAAUCACUGGGCGUAAAGGGUGCGUAGGCGGGUCUUUAAGUCAGGGGGGAAAUCCUGGAGCUCAACUCCAGAACUGCCUUUGAUACUGAGGAUCUUGAGUUCGGGAGAGGUGAGUGGAACUGCGAGUGUAGAGGUGAAAUUCGUAGAUAUUGGGAAGAACACCGGUGGCGAAGGCGGCUCACUGGCUCGUUUCUGACGCUCAGGCGCGACAGCGUGGGGAUCAAACAGG
rnacentral:rRNA from 1 species